CCUCCUCUUCAUCUUCAUCCUCAUCCUCUUCCUCCUUCCUAGGGCAAUGCACGGCCAGUCUAAGCCGGGCUGCCUCCUCUUCAUCCUCCUCUGUCUCCUCUUCCUCCUUCCUAGGGCAAUGCAGGGCCAGUCCAAGCUGGGCUGCCUCCUCCUCUUCCUCCUCUUCCUCCUCCAUAGAGCACUGCAGGGCAAGUCUAAGCUGGGCUUCCUCCUCUUCAUCCUCCUCUUCCUCCUCUUCCUCCUCCAUAGAGCGCUGCAGGGCAAUCAGCAGCUGGGCUUCCUCCUCUUCCUCCUCUGCAGUGCAAUGCAGGGUCAGUCCAAGCUGGGCUUCCUCCUCCUCUUCCUCCUCUUCCUCCUCCAUAGAGCGCUGCAGGGCCAUCAGCAACUGUGCUUCCUCCUCCUCCUCUUCCUCUUCCUUUUUCUUAUCCAUCAUGGAGCGCUGCAGCGCCAUCGCCAGCCGUGCUUCCUCCUCCUCUUCUUCCUCCUCCUUCUCCCUCAUGGAUCGCUGCAGCGCCAUCGCCAGCUGCACUUCCUUCUCCUCUUCCUCCUCUUCCUCCUUCAUAGAGCGCUGCAGCGCCAUCGCCAGCUGUGCUUCCUCCUCCUCUUCCUCUUCCUUUUUCUUCUCCCUUAUGGAUCUCUGCAGUGCCAUCGCCAGCCGUGCUUCCUCCUCCUCUUCUUCCUCCUCCUUCUCCCUUAUGGAUCGCUGCAGCGCCAUCGCCAGCUGCACUUCCUUCUCCUCUUCCUCCUCUUCCUCCUUCAUAGAGCGCUGCAGCGCCAUCGCCAGCUGUGCUUCCUCCUCCUCCUCUUCCUCUUCCUUUUUCUUAUCCCUCAUGGAGCGCUGCAGUGCCAUCGCCAGCCGUGCUUCCUCCUCCUCUUCUUCCUCCUCCUUCUCCCUCAUGGAUCGCUGCAGCGCCAUCGCCAGCUGCACUUCCUUCUCCUCUUCCUCCUCUUCCUCCUUCAUAGAGC
ensembl:lncRNA